UACAGAGGAGCCAAGCGUUGUCCGGAUUGACUGGGCGUAAAGCGCACGCAGGCGGCAUCGCGCGUGGGGUGUGAAAUCUGGCCGCUUAACGGCCAGGCGCCAUCCCAUACGGCGAGGCUGGAGCGAUGCAGAGGUCGGUGGAAUUGCCGGUGUAGUGGUGAAAUGCGUAGAUAUCUGGAGGAACACCGGUGGCGAAGGCGGCAUCCUGGACCGGCAUUGACGCUGAGGCGCGAAAGCCAGGGGAGCAAACGGG
rnacentral:rRNA from 1 species